GGAAUAAUACUUUAAAUUUAAAAGAAUUGAUUUGCAUUCAAUUAAUAGGAAAAAUUUCCUUUAUUCCC
rnacentral:tRNA from 1 species